AACGUAGGACGCGAGCGUUAUCCGGAGUUACUGGGCGUAAAGGGCGUGCAGGCGGGAGCGCAAGUCACGCGUGAAAGUCUUCGGCUCAACCGGGGGAGAGCGGGUGAUACUGCGUUUCUAGAGGGCGCUAGAGGGACACGGAAUUCCGGGUGUAGUGGUGAAAUGCGUAGAGAUCCGGAGGAACACCAGUGGCGCAGGCGGUGUUCUGGGGCGCACCUGACGCUGAGACGCGAAAGCAUGGGGAGCGAACGGG
rnacentral:rRNA from 1 species